UACGUAGGGCGCGAGCGUUGUCCGGAUUUAUUGGGCGUAAAGCGCUCGUAGGCGGCUUGUUACGUCGGCUGUGAAAACCCAUGGCUCAACCGUGGGCUUGCAGUCGAUACGGGCAGGCUAGAGUUCGGUAGGGGAGAGUGGAAUUCCUGGUGUAGCGGUGGAAUGCGCAGAUAUCAGGAGGAACACCGAUGGCGAAGGCAGCUCGCUGGGACGGUACUGACGCUGAGGCGCGAAAGCGUGGGGAGCAAACAGG
rnacentral:rRNA from 1 species